rnacentral:rRNA from 1 species
CAUAGGUUAAUGAGGCGAACCGGGGGAACUGAAACAUCUAAGUACCCCGAGGAAAAGAAAUCAACCGAGAUUCCCCCAGUAGCGGCGAGCGAACGGGGAGGAGCCCAGAGCCUGAAUCAGUGUGUGUGUUAGUGGAAGCGUCUGGAAAGGCGCGCGAUACAGGGUGACAGCCCCGUACACAAAAAUGCACAUGCUGUGAGCUCGAUGAGUAGGGCGGGACACGUGGUAUCCUGUCUGAAUAUGGGGGGACCAUCCUCCAAGGCUAAAUACUCCUGACUGACCGAUAGUGAACCAGUACCGUGAGGGAAAGGCGAAAAGAACCCCGGCGAGGGGAGUGAAAAAGAACCUGAAACCGUGUACGUACAAGCAGUGGGAGCACAGAGCAAUCUGUGUGACUGCGUACCUUUUGUAUAAUGGGUCAGCGACUUAUAUUCUGUAGCAAGGUUAACCGAAUAGGGGAGCCGAAGGGAAACCGAGUCUUAACUGGGCGUUAAGUUGCAGGGUAUAGACCCGAAACCCGGUGAUCUAGCCAUGGGCAGGUUGAAGGUUGGGUAACACUAACUGGAGGACCGAACCGACUAAUGUUGAAAAAUUAGCGGAUGACUUGUGGCUGGGGGUGAAAGGCCAAUCAAACCGGGAGAUAGCUGGUUCUCCCCGAAAGCUAUUUAGGUAGCGCCUCGUGAAUUCAUCUCCGGGGGUAGAGCACUGUUUCGGCAAGGGGGUCAUCCCGACUUACCAACCCGAUGCAAACUGCGAAUACCGGAGAAUGUUAUCACGGGAGACACACGGCGGGUGCUAACGUCCGUCGUGAAGAGGGAAACAACCCAGACCGCCAGCUAAGGUCCCAAAGUCAUGGUUAAGUGGGAAACGAUGUGGGAAGGCCCAGACAGCCAGGAUGUUGGCUUAGAAGCAGCCAUCAUUUAAAGAAAGCGUAAUAGCUCACUGGUCGAGUCGGCCUGCGCGGAAGAUGUAACGGGGCUAAACCAUGCACCGAAGCUGCGGCAGCGACACUGUGUGUUGUUGGGUAGGGGAGCGUUCUGUAAGCCUGUGAAGGUGUGCUGUGAGGCAUGCUGGAGGUAUCAGAAGUGCGAAUGCUGACAUAAGUAACGAUAAAGCGGGUGAAAAGCCCGCUCGCCGGAAGACCAAGGGUUCCUGUCCAACGUUAAUCGGGGCAGGGUGAGUCGACCCCUAAGGCGAGGCCGAAAGGCGUAGUCGAUGGGAAACAGGUUAAUAUUCCUGUACUUGGUGUUACUGCGAAGGGGGGACGGAGAAGGCUAUGUUGGCCGGGCGACGGUUGUCCCGGUUUAAGCGUGUAGGCUGGUUUUCCAGGCAAAUCCGGAAAAUCAAGGCUGAGGCGUGAUGACGAGGCACUACGGUGCUGAAGCAACAAAUGCCCUGCUUCCAGGAAAAGCCUCUAAGCAUCAGGUAACAUCAAAUCGUACCCCAAACCGACACAGGUGGUCAGGUAGAGAAUACCAAGGCGCUUGAGAGAACUCGGGUGAAGGAACUAGGCAAAAUGGUGCCGUAACUUCGGGAGAAGGCACGCUGAUAUGUAGGUGAAGUCCCUCGCGGAUGGAGCUGAAAUCAGUCGAAGAUACCAGCUGGCUGCAACUGUUUAUUAAAAACACAGCACUGUGCAAACACGAAAGUGGACGUAUACGGUGUGACGCCUGCCCGGUGCCGGAAGGUUAAUUGAUGGGGUCAGCGCAAGCGAAGCUCUUGAUCGAAGCCCCGGUAAACGGCGGCCGUAACUAUAACGGUCCUAAGGUAGCGAAAUUCCUUGUCGGGUAAGUUCCGACCUGCACGAAUGGCGUAAUGAUGGCCAGGCUGUCUCCACCCGAGACUCAGUGAAAUUGAACUCGCUGUGAAGAUGCAGUGUACCCGCGGCAAGACGGAAAGACCCCGUGAACCUUUACUAUAGCUUGACACUGAACAUUGAGCCUUGAUGUGUAGGAUAGGUGGGAGGCUUUGAAGUGUGGACGCCAGUCUGCAUGGAGCCGACCUUGAAAUACCACCCUUUAAUGUUUGAUGUUCUAACGUGGACCCGUGAUCCGGGUUGCGGACAGUGUCUGGUGGGUAGUUUGACUGGGGCGGUCUCCUCCUAAAGAGUAACGGAGGAGCACGAAGGUUGGCUA